rnacentral:rRNA from 1 species
UACGUAGGGCGCAAGCGUUGUCCGGAAUUAUUGGGCGUAAAGAGCGUGUAGGCGGCUUGGCAAGUCCGCUGUGAAAACUCGAGGCUCAACCUCGAGACGUCGGUGGAAACUGCCUCGCUAGAGUCCGGAAGAGGAGAGUGGAAUUCCUGGUGUAGCGGUGAAAUGCGCAGAUAUCAGGAAGAACACCCGUGGCUAAGGCGGCUCUCUAGUACGGUACUGACGCUGAGACGCGAAAGCGUGGGGGAGCGAACAGG